rnacentral:rRNA from 1 species
GAUGAACGCUGGCGGCGUGCCUAAUACAUGCAAGUCGAGCGAACAGACGAGGAGCUUGCUCCGCUGACGUUAUCGUCGGACGGGUGAGUAACACGUGGAUAACCUACCUAUAAGACUGGGAUAACUUCGGGAAACCGGAGCUAAUACCGGAUAAUAUAUUGAACCGCAUGGUUCAAUAGUGAAAGACGGUUUUGCUUUCACUUAUUGAUGGAUCCGCGCCGCAUUAGCUAGUUGGUAAGGUAACGGCUUACCAAGGCGACGAUGCGUAGCCGACCUGAGAGGGUGAUCGGCCACACUGGAACUGAGACACGGUCCAGACUCCUACGGGAGGCAGCAGUAGGGAAUCUUCCGCAAAGGGCGAAAGCCUGACGGAGCAACGCCGCGUGAGUGAUGAAGGUCUUCGGAUCGUAAAACUCUGUUAUUAGGGAAGAACAAAUGUGUAAGUAACUAUGCACGUCUUGACGGUACCUAAUCAGAAAGCCACGGCUAACUACGUG